rnacentral:rRNA from 1 species
GACGAACGCUGGCGGCGUGCUUAACACAUGCAAGUCGAACGGAAAGGCCCUGCUUUUGUGGGGUGCUCGAGUGGCGAAGGGGUGAGUAACACGUGAGUAACCUGCCCUUGACUUUGGGAUAACUUCAGGAAACUGGGGCUAAUACCGGAUAGGAGCUCCUGCUGCAUGGUGGGGGUUGGAAAGUUUCGGCGGUUGGGGAUGGACUCGCGGCUUAUCAGCUUGUUGGUGGGGUAGUGGCUUACCAAGGCUUUGACGGGUAGCCGGCCUGAGAGGGUGACCGGCGACAUUGGGACUGAGAUACGGCCCAGACUCCUACGGGAGGCAGCAGUGGGGAAUAUUGCACAAUGGGCGGAAGCCUGAUGCAGAAACGCCGCGUGCGGGAUGACGGCCUUCGGGUUGUAAACCGCUUUCGCCUGUGACGAAGCGUGAGUGACGGUAAUGGGUAAAGAAGCACCGGCUAACUACGUG